CGUGAGGCUGAUGUGUAGGCAAAUCCGCGCAUCAUUAAGGCUGGGCUGUGAUGGGGAGCGAAAAUUGCAGUAGCGAAGGUCAUGAGUUCAGGCUGCCAAGAAAACCCUCUAGCCAGGUGAAGGUGCCCGUACCGCAAACCGACACAGGUAGGCGAGCAGAGUAUGCUAAGGCGCUCGGAAGAACUCUCGUUAAGGAACUCGGCAAAAUGACCCCGUAACUUCGGGAGAAGGGGUGCCUCGGUAGGGUGAAUAGCCCGAGGGGGCCGCAGUGAAAAGGCCCAAGCGACUGUUUAGCAAAAACACAGGUCUGUGCGAAGCCGUAAGGCGAAGUAUACGGGCUGACGCCUGCCCGGUGCUGGAAGGUUAAGGGGAGUGGUUAGCCGCAAGGCGAAGCUAUGAACCGAAGCCCCAGUAAACGGCGGCCGUAACAAUAACGGUCCUAAGGUAGCGAAAUUCCUUGUCAGGUAAAUUCUGACCCGCACGAAUGGCGUAACGACUUGGGCGCUGUCUCAACGAGAGAUCCGGUGAAAUUUUAAUACCUGUGAAGAUGCAGGUUACCCGCGACAAGACGGAAAGACCCCAUGGAGCUUUACUGCAGCUUGAUAUUGGACUUUGGUACGAUCUGUACAGGAUAGGUGGGAGCCUUGGAAACCGGAGCGCCAGCUUCGGUGGAGGCAUCGUUGGGAUACCACCCUGAUCGUAUCGGAGUUCUAACCUGGUACCGUGAUCCGGUACAGGGACCGUGUCAGGUGGGCAGUUUGACUGGGGCGGUCGCCUCCUAAAAUGUAACGGAGGCGCCCAAAGGUUCCCUCAGAAUGGUUGGAAAUCAUUCGUAGCGUGCAAAGGCAUAAGGGAGCUUGACUGCGAGACCUACAAGUCGAGCAGGGACGAAAGUCGGGCUUAGUGAUCCGGUGGUACCGCAUGGAAGGGCCAUCGCUCAACGGAUAAAAGCUACCCUGGGGAUAACAGGCUUAUCUCCCCCAAGAGUCCACAUCGACGGGGAGGUUUGGCACCUCGAUGUCGGCUCAUCGCAUCCUGGGGCUGAAGUAGGUCCCAAGGGUUGGGCUGUUCGCCCAUUAAAGCGGUACGCGAGCUGGGUUCAGAACGUCGUGAGACAGUUCGGUCCCUAUCUGUCGUGGGCGUAGGAAAUUUGAGAGGAGCUGUCCUUAGUACGAGAGGACCGGGAUGGACGCACCGCUGGUGUACCAGUUGUUCCGCCAGGAGCAUAGCUGGGUAGCUACGUGCGGACGGGAUAAGCGCUGAAAGCAUCUAAGCGUGAAGCCCCCCUCAAGAUGAGAUUUCCCAGUAUGUAAGACCCCUGGAAGACGACCAGGUUGAUAGGUUCGAGGUGGAAGCGCAGCAAUGCGUGGAGCUGACGAAUACUAAUCGGUCGAGGGCUUAUCCAA
rnacentral:rRNA from 1 species